UGGGGGAAUAUUGGGCAAUGGGGCGAAAGCCUGACCCAGCAACGCCGCGUGAGGGAGGAAGGUUUUCGGAUUGUAAACCUCUGUCCUUGGGGAAGAAGAAAGUGACGGUACCUGGAGAAAAAGCAACGGCUAACUACGUGCCAGCAGCCGCGGUAAUACGUAGGUUGCAAGCGUUGUCCGGAUUUACUGGGUGUAAAGGGCGUGUAGGCGGAGAUGCAAGUUGGGAGUGAAAUCCAUGGGCUCAACCCAUGAACUGCUCUCAAAACUGUAUCCCUUGAGUAUCGGAGAGGCAAGCGGAAUUCCUAGUGUAGCGGUGAAAUGCGUAGAUAUUAGGAGGAACACCAGUGGCGAAGGCGGCUUGCUGGACGACAACUGACGCUGAGGCGCGAAAGCGUGGGGAGC
rnacentral:rRNA from 1 species